rnacentral:rRNA from 1 species
AUUGAACGCUGGCGGCAGGCCUAACACAUGCAAGUCGAACGAGUGGCGGACGGGUGAGUAAUGUCUGGGAAACUGCGUGAUGGAGGGGGAUAACUACUGGAAAAGGUAGAUAAUACCGCAUACCAUCAGAUGUGCCCAGAUGGGAUUAGCAGGUUGGUGGGGUAACGGCCCACCAAGGCGACGAGCCCUAGCUGUUCUGAGAGGAUGACCAGCCAAACUGGAACUGAGACACGGUCCAGACUCCUACGGGAGGCAUCAGUGGGGAAUAUUGCACAAUGGGCGCAAGCCUGAUGCAGCCAUGCCGCGUGUAGGAAGAAGGCCUUCGGGUUGUAAAGUACUUUCAUCGGGGAGGCGUUACCCGCAGAAGAAGCACCUGCUAACUCCGUGCCAGCAGCCGCGGUAAUUC